rnacentral:rRNA from 1 species
CUCCUACGGGAGGCAGCAGUGGGGAAUCUUGCGCAAUGGUCUAACGACUGACGCAGCGACGCCGCGUGUGGGAGGACGCCUUUCGGGGUGUAAACCACUGUUGCCCGGGACGAACAGCCCUUUUCGAGGGGUCUGACUCGUACCGGGUGAGGAAGCACCGGCUAACUCCGUGCCAGCAGCCGCGGUAAUACGGCCGGUGCGAGCGUUGUCCGGAAUCAUUGGGCGUAAAGGGCGCGUAGGUGGCCCGGUAAGCGUGCGGUGAAAGCUCGGCGCUCAACCCCGAGUCGGCCGUGCGAACUACUGGGCUCGAGCACUUGAAGAGGCAGGCGGAAUUCCGGGUGUAGCGGUGGAAUGCGUAGAGAUCCGGGAAGAACACCGGU